AGGAACCAACUCAAGGAGGCUGGCGUGUAGACAAUUAGUUUUAGUAUCACAGCAUCAGCCUUCUGGAAACCAGGCAGCUGGGAGUCCCUUAUCUCCAGCAAACUCUCCGGUGCAGCCUGCAAGAUGCUUGAACCCUGAAAGGUCCCUUUGGGCUGGGGAAGCAAGGAGAAGGUGAACCGCUCCCCCUGAUGCCUAAAAGAAAACUCAGGGAGAAAAAACUCCGAGACAACCUAGUUUUGAAGGUUGAACUACACUACUGGAGAAAAGACUGACAGCGUGAAGGACCAAGUCUUUCAAGUUUUAUUUUGCCAGUUGUGUAAUCUAACACAGCCAUCGAGGUUUUGGGAAUCCAACACGCUGGUGCGGAGUUCAGUUCUGGUCCACCCUGCCUGUACACAGAACAUUCU